UUAUUUAAGAAAAAAAUAGAAGGUACUCAUCUGUAAAAUGCCCCAAACUAGGCCUAAACUUGAAAUCUUGAAAAACCAAGGUACUACCAGUAAUUUGCUCGUGAUCGAUAAGCCAUCAAUUUCUCUCUCCAUGUACGAGUUCGUAAAUUUCAGUCCUGCUCUGAAGUUAACUUGUAUUUAAAAAAUGGCGUCAAGAGGGUUACUUUCAAGGGCGAGCAGAAUCAAAUCGAAGCUUCAAUCGGCGCUGGAAGCAACCGUCGUUGAGGUGGAAGACGUUUCAUACCAGCACGCCGGCCACGCAGCCGUCAAAGACAGCGGCGCAAGCGAGACCCAUUUCAAUGUCAAAAUCGUUUCUAGCAAAUUUGACGGCCAGAACCUAGUCAAACGACACCGUAUGGUCUAUGAUCUCUUAUCCGACGAGCUUCAGUCUGGUUUGCAUGCUCUCUCUAUCAAGGCAAAUACUCCCAGAGAAGCUGGUCUGAGCAAUUGAUCAUUCAGCAGCUUCUGAAUAAAGGAAGUAUCAGUACUGGGGAUUGUAUGCAAUGCGGUUGGAUUUAGAACUAACGGCAGCUACCACCUUUUCUGUUUGAACGUUGAGAACUUGGUUUAAUUCCUUAUAUUCAGUUUUAUUGAAUAUUCCCUCCCUGUAGUCCUCCUCCUCUUCCCAAGUGCAUCAAUUUCCACGAUGAACUGGACAGAAGAAUUACACAAACUCAACAUAGUGUUCUACAGGCUUAAACUGAAUUUGUGAUUAACUUUGAAAAUUUGGCAGACAGAAACUUUUCUUCAUGUGAUAAUUGAUCAGCAUAUUUUGGUGCCAGAUGAUGGAUAUACCCUGUUGGCUCGCUUAGUUCUUUCCUUCCAUUUUUUCUAUUUGGCAUACCACAAAUUAUAACUGAACUAGAAUAGAGAUUUUUUGUCAGGGAAAGUAUAUGUAACCGAAUGAGCCUAAAGGGCUUGUUUAUGCUAUAUCCAUAGCUGUUUUACA